rnacentral:tRNA from 1 species
GGGGUGGAGCAGUGGCAGCUCGUCGGGCUCAUAACCCGGAGGUCGCAGGUUCGAGUCCUGUCCUGCCCA